AGAUAUACUAUAAACACAGGUACUGUAUGGGUGUAUCUCACACGACCGUGCCUGGCUCGUCGAACGUUAACUCUCCACUUCCGAGUGUUUUUCCAGCCUGACGAAAUUGUUGAGCAUGAUUACUAAUUGCAUCGCAAGAGUUCGGCCCGAAUCGUGACGUCAAUAAACACCCAGGGGGAUCGAUUGUUGUCUUGCGCUGAUAAGCCCCAUCCGAUGCAACCCCCAACCCCAUGCGCUAAAUAUAUACAUCGUGCCUAGUAACUUGCUGACUGAUAUUUCCUAAGUAAAUGAGCUAAA